CCUACGGGGCGCAGCAGUGGGGAAUUCUCCGCAAAGGGCGAAAGCCUGGCGGAGCAAUGCCGCGUGGAGGUAGAAGGCCCACGGGUCGUGAACUUCUUUUCCCGGAGAAGAAGCAACGACGGUAUCUGGGGAAUGAGCAUCGGCUAACUCUGUGCCAGCAGCCGCGGUAAUACAGAGGAUGCAAGCGUUAUCCGGAAUGAUUGGGCGUAAAGCGUCUGUAGGUGGCUUUUUAAGUCCGCCGUCAAAUCCCAGGGCUCAACCCUGGACAGGCGGUGGAAACUACCAAGCUGGAGUACGGUAGGGGCAGAGUGAAUUUCCGGUGGAGCGGUGAAAUGCGUAGAGAUCGGGAAGAACACCAACGGCGAAAGCACUCUGCUGGGCCGACACUGACACUGAGAGACGAAAGCUAGGGGAGCGAAUGGGAUUAGAUACCCCAGUAGUC
rnacentral:rRNA from 1 species